GUCGAGCGAGGUUACUGUUUUGGAUCCCUUCGGGGUGAAGAAGCUUUAACCUAGCGGCGGACGGGUGAGUAACGCGUGGGUAACCUACCCCAAAGUCCGGGAUAACAGCGGGAAACCGCUGCUAAUACCGGAUGUCUUUACCUUGGGGCAUCUUGAGGUAAAGAAAGGUAACGCUUUGGGAUGGGCCCGCGUCCCAUUAGCUAGUUGGUGAGGUAACGGCUCACCAAGGCGACGAUGGGUAGCCGGCCUGAGAGGGUGGACGGCCACACUGGGACUGAGACACGGCCCAGACUCCUACGGGAGGCAGCAGUAGGGAAUAUUGCGCAAUGGACGGAAGUCUGACGCAGCGACGCCGCGUGAGCGAUGAAGGUCUUCGGAUCGUAAAGCUCUGUCCUUGGGGAAGAAGGCGAAAGCUUGACGGUACCCAAGAAGAAAGCCCCGGCUAACUACGUGCCAGCAGCCGCGGUAAUACGUAGGGGGCGAGCGUUGUCCGGAAUUACUGGGCGUAAAGGGUGCGUAGGCGGCCCUUUAAGUCGGAUGUGAAAGCCCGCGGCUUAACCGCGGAAUGGCAUUC
rnacentral:rRNA from 1 species